ACCCCAGCCCAAUUAGCCUAAUCCCCAAUAUUCUACGCCUAUUCCAUUCUCAUCACUAGCUGCCAGCGUUGUCUUCUUCCCACACUUUCCUCUCUUGAACAAAAAUCCAUUCUCUCUCCAGCCAUGGCAGAAGCUUGCCUUUCCAAUUUGGACCGAAAAGUCCCGUGUGUGUUUAGACUCGACGCCGCCGUAAUACCACAUGGAGUCCGGCACAUCAUAUUUUCAUCCUGCUUGAUACAGAGACAAACAACAAAAUUAUCCCUUAUGGGAUGCUAGGUGAUAAGCUAGUCAAUUUAUCCCUUUGAUUCCUUUAUUGUCCAUUUACGUUUUCCUUUAUGUUGGUGACCACUUUAAACAUAUACUCUCGUGUUUGGAACAUUGACUGGUAUGUGAUAUGUCGUUACUUUACUCCUGGUUAAUCAUACAAGUACUCAUUUUCACA